AUUGAACGCUGGCGGCAGGCCUAACACAUGCAAGUCGAACGAGUGGCGGACGGGUGAGUAACGUCUGGGCAACUGCCCGAUGGAGGGGGAUAACUACUGGAAACGGUAGCUAAUACCGCAUACCAUCGGAUGUGCCCCAAGGGGAUUAGCUAGUUGGUGGGGUAAAGGCUCACCUAGGCGACGAUCCAUAGCUGGUCUGAGAGGAUGACCAGCCACAAUGGAACUGAGAUACGGUCCAGACUCCUACGGUAGGCAGCAGUGGGGAAGAUUGCACAAUGGGCGCAAGCCUGACGCAGCCAUGCCGCGUGUAUGAAGAAGGCCUUCGGGUUGUAAAGUACUUUCAGCGGGGAGGCGGUACCCGCAGAAGAAGCACCGGCUAACUCCGUGCCAGCAGCCGCGGUAAUUC
rnacentral:rRNA from 1 species